CUCCUCCCCAAAAAAACCUCCGCCCCUCUCUAUCCUCCCCUCUCUCGUCCUCCUCCCUAGUGGAAAACAUAAGCAGCGAGCGGGGGCUGGCCCCGGGUAGAAGGAAUUCUUCCCUCUGCUGCGUGUUCUCAGCCGCCGGAUCGUGCCGUGCUGCCUCUCACAUCCUCCCCAGCUACCUAGAAUGCAGCAUCAGACUUUUCUCUGGAGACUGGUAACUUUUAGGAAUGGGAGAGUGGCUGUGAUUUGUGCCUCAUUACAUGGAGCCAAAAAGAAAACAAAUAUUGCAGGAAUCUACAGCACCAAAAAUGCGCACUUCAGAAGCAAAACCAAGAGGUCUUGCUGUGACUGACCCAUGGUGUUUAUUAUGUGGGGAAAAUAAUAGUAUUGCAGAGCUUAGGAGCAUCUUUCUGAUUCAGGCGCCCAUGCCAGCGUGUUUCCACUGCCAAGUGUGUCCAUAUGUUACAUCAGUCAUUGGACACAGGAAGGUGAAAUAUAUUGCCUCUUGGUUAUGAACCCAUGAUUCAAU